rnacentral:rRNA from 1 species
UACGUAGGGUGCAAGCGUUGUCCGGAAUUAUUGGGCGUAAAGAGCUCGUAGGCGGUCUGUCGCGUCUGCUGUGAAAACCUGGGGCUUAACUCUGGGCGUGCAGUGGGUACGGGCAGACUAGAGUGUGGUAGGGGAGACUGGAAUUCCGUGGUGAUAGCGGUGAAAUGCGCAGAUAUCAGGAGGAACACCGAUGGCGAAGGCAGGUCUCUGGGCCGACUACU